rnacentral:rRNA from 1 species
UACGAAGGGUGCAAGCGUUACUCGGAAUUACUGGGCGUAAAGCGUGCGUAGGUGGUGAGUUAAGUCUGAUGUGAAAUCCCCGGGCUCAACCUGGGAAUGGCAUUGGAUACUGGCUCGCUGGAGUGCGGUAGAGGGUGGUGGAAUUCCCGGUGUAGCAGUGAAAUGCGUAGAGAUCGGGAGGAACAUCUGUGGCGAAGGCGGCCACCUGGACCAGCACUGACACUGAUGCACGAAAGCUAGGGGAGCAAACAGG